rnacentral:rRNA from 1 species
AUACGGAGGGUGCGAGCGUUAAUCGGAAUUACUGGGCGUAAAGCGUACGUAGGCGGUUGGUUAAGUUAGAUGUGAAAGCCCCGGGCUUAACCUGGGAACUGCAUUUAAAUCUGGCGAACUAGAGUUGAGUAGAGGGGAGUGGAAUUUCAGGUGUAGCGGUGAAAUGCGUAGAGAUCUGAAGGAACACCAGUGGCGAAGGCGACUCCCUGGACUCGAACUGACGCUGAGGUGCGAAAGCGUGGGUAGCAAACGGGAUUAGAAACCCCAGUAGUCC